rnacentral:rRNA from 1 species
GAACUGAAGAGUUUGAUCCUGGCUCAGAUUGAACGCUGGCGGCAUGCCUUACACAUGCAAGUCGAACGGCAGCACGGGUGCUUGCACCUGGUGGCGAGUGGCGAACGGGUGAGUAAUACAUCGGAACAUGUCCUGUAGUGGGGGAUAGCCCGGCGAAAGCCGGAUUAAUACCGCAUACGAUCCAUGGAUGAAAGCGGGGGACCUUCGGGCCUCGCGCUAUAGGGUUGGCCGAUGGCUGAUUAGCUAGUUGGUGGGGUAAAGGCCUACCAAGGCGACGAUCAGUAGCUGGUCUGAGAGGACGACCAGCCACACUGGGACUGAGACACGGCCCAGACUCCUACGGGAGGCAGCAGUGGGGAAUUUUGGACAAUGGGCGAAAGCCUGAUCCAGCAAUGCCGCGUGUGUGAAGAAGGCCUUCGGGUUGUAAAGCACUUUUGUCCGGAAAGAAAUCCCUGGCUCUAAUACAGUCGGGGGAUGACGGUACCGGAAGAAUAAGCACCGGCUAACUACGUGCCAGCAGCCGCGGUAAUACGUAGGGUGCGAGCGUUAAUCGGAAUUACUGGGCGUAAAGCGUGCGCAG